rnacentral:rRNA from 1 species
ACUCAAAGGAAUUGACGGGGACUCGCACAAGCGGUGGAGCAUGCGGUUUAAUUCGAUGCAACGCGAAGAACCUUACCAGGUCUUGACAUCCCGUUGACCGGGCUAGAGAUAGUCCUUCCCUUCGGGGCAACGGAGACAGGUGGUGCAUGGUUGUCGUCAGCUCGUGUCGUGAGAUGUUGGGUUAAGUCCCACAACGAGCGCAACCCUUAUCAUUAGUUGCUAACAUUAAGUUGAGAACUCUAAUGAGACCGCCGGUGAUAAACCGGAUGAAGGUGGGGAUGACGUCAAAUCAUCAUGCCCCUUAUGACCUGGGCUACACGCGUGCUACAAUGGCUAGUACAAAGAGUCGCAAUACCGUGAGGUGGAGCUAAUCUCAUAAAACUAGUCUCAGUUCGGAUUGUAGUCUGCAACUCGACUACAUGAAGUUGGAAUCGCUAGUAAUCGCAAAUCAGCAUGUUGCGGUGAAUACGUUCUCGAGUCUUGUACACACCGCCCGU